CUGCAUAAAUGUCUUCUUUUGAGAAGUGUCUGUUCAUAUCCUUUGCCCACUUUUUGAUGGGGUUGUUUUUUUCUUGUAAAUUUGUUUAAGUUCUUUGUAGAUUCUGGAUAUUAGCCCUUUGUUAGAUGGAUAGAUUGCAAAAAUUUUCCCUAAUUCUGUAGGUUGCCUGUUCACUCUCAUGAUAGUUUCUUUUUUUUUUUUUUGGA
rnacentral:lncRNA from 10 species